UUGGUCCCAAGGCUCGCUU
rnacentral:snRNA from 1 species